rnacentral:rRNA from 1 species
GAUGAACGCUAGCGGCAGGCUUAACACAUGCAAGUCGAGGGGUAGAGGCUUUCGGGCCUUGAGACCGGCGCACGGGUGCGUAACGCGUAUGCAAUCUGCCUUGUACUGGGGGAUAGCCCAGAGAAAUUUGGAUUAAUACCCCAUAGUAUUUUCGGUUGGCAUCAACUGAUUAUUAAAGUUUUUCGGUACAAGAUGAGCAUGCGUCCCAUUAGCUAGUUGGUAUGGUAACGGCAUACCAAGGCUGCGAUGGGUAGGGGUCCUGAGAGGGAGAUCCCCCACACUGGUACUGAGACACGGACCAGACUCCUACGGGAGGCAGCAGUGAGGAAUAUUGGUCAAUGGUCGCAAGACUGAACCAGCCAUGCCGCGUGCAGGAUGAAGCAUCUAUGGUGUGUAAACUGCUUUUGUACGGGAAGAAACACUCCUACGUGUAGGGGCUUGACGGUACCGUAAGAAUAAGGAUCGGCUAACUCCGUGCCAGCCGCCGCAGUAAGAC